rnacentral:rRNA from 1 species
UACGAAGGAGGCUAGCGUUGCUCGGAAUCACUGGGCGUAAAGAGCUCGUAGGUGGUUUGUCGCGUUGUUCGUGAAAUCCCACGGCUUAACUGUGGGCGUGCGGGCGAUACGGGCAGACUGGAGUACUGCAGGGGAGACUGGAAUUCCUGGUGUAGCGGUGGAAUGCGCAGAUAUCAGGAGGAACACCGGUGGCGAAGGCGGGUCUCUGGGCAGUAACUGACGCUGAGGAGCGAAAGCGUGGGGAGCGAACAGG